UAAGGUGGGCUAUGUCUGAGAAAUGAUGUC
rnacentral:piRNA from 1 species